ensembl:lncRNA
AGUGGUGUAGUGGUUAGCACUCUCGCCUCCCAGACAGAUGCCUCGGGUUCAACUCCACCCAGUGGUGCCUCUGUGUUAGGUGGUGUAGGCUAAGCCUGCAUGGGAUUCACUCCAUACUUGUAAAAGUAAUGGAAAAAAGUUUUUUAAAACUUCCGCAUCUGAAAAGAAUCCCCAAAUAUUUUGCAAAAAGUCAUGAAAUUCUAUCUUUAGUCAUAUGAAGGGGGACGCCGGUGAGAAAACGUACUUUUGAAUAAAAAUCUGAAUUUUUUCUGAAUUGGAGUCAUAUGACAUUCUAAUGGCAGCAGUUGACACGGUACAGUGGUGUAGUGGUUAGCACUCUCGCCUCCCAGACAGAUGCCUCGGGUUCAACUCCACCCAGUGGUGCCUCUGUGUUAGGUGGUGUAGGCUAAGCCUGCAUGGGAUUCACUCCAUACUUGUAAAAGUAAUGGAAAAAAGUUUUUUAAAACUUCCGCAUCUGAAAAGAAUCCCCUAAAUAUUUUGCAAAAAGUCAUGAAAUUCUAUCUUUAGUCAUAUGAAGGGGGACGCCGGUGAGAAAACGUACUUUUGAAUAAAAAUCUGAAUUUUUUCUGAAUUGGAGUCAUAAGACAUUCUAAUGGCAGCAGUUGACACGGUACAGUGGUGUAGUGGUUAGCACUCUCGCCUCCCAGACAGAUGCCUCGGGUUCAACUCCACCCAGUGGUGCCUCUGUGUUAGGUGGUGUAGGCUAAGCCUACAUGGGAUUCACUCCACACUUGUAAAAGUAAUGGAAAAAAGUUUUUUUAAAACUUCCGCAUCUGAAAAGAUCCCAAAUAUUUUGCAAAAAGUCAUGAAAUUCUAUCUUAGUCAUAUGAAGGGGGACGCCGGUGAGAAAACGUACUUUUGAAUAAAAAUCUGAAUUUUUUCUAAAUUGGAGUCAUAAGACAUUCUAAUGGCAGCAGUUGACACGGUACAGUGGUGUAGUGGUUAGCACUCAAGCCUCGCAGACAGAUGCCUCUGGGUUAAACUCCACCCAGUGGUGCCUCUGUGUUAGGUGGUGUAGGCUAAGCCUGCAUGGGAUUCACUCCAUACUUGUAAAAGUAAUGGAAAAAAGUUUUUUAAAACUUCCGCAUCUGAAAAGAAUCCCCAAAUAUUUUGCAAAAAGUCAUAAAAUUCUAUCUUUAGUCAUAUGAAGGGGGACGCCGGUGAGAAACGUAGUUUUGAAUAAAAAUCAAAAAAAUUUCUAAAUUGGAGUCAUAAGACAUUCUAAUGGCAGCAGUUGACACGGUACAGUGGUGUAGUGGUUAGCACUCUCGCCUCCCAGACAGAUGCCUCGGGUUCAACUCCACCCAGUGGUGCCUCUGUGUUAGGUGGUGUAGGCUAAGCCUGCAUGGGAUCACUCCAUACUUGUAAAAGUAAUGGAAAAAAGUUUUUAAAACUUCCGCAUCUGAAAAGAAUCCCCAAAUAUUUUGCAAAAAGUCAUGAAAUUCUAUCUUUAGUCAUAUGAAGGGGGACGCCGGUGAGAAAACGUACUUUUGAAUAAAAAUCGAAUUUUUUCUGAAUUGGAGUCAUAGACAUUCUAAGGCAGGCAGUUGACACGGUACAGUGGUGUAGUGGUUAGCACUCUCGCCUCCCAGACAGAUGCCUCGGGUUCAACUCCACCCAGUGGUGCCUCUGUGUUAGGUGGUGUAGGCUAAGCCUGCAUGGGAUUCACUCCAUACUUGUAAAAGUAAUGGAAAAAAGUUUUUUAAAACUUCAGCAUCUGAAAAGAAUCCCCAAAUAUUUUGCAAAAAGUCAUGACAUUCUUUCUUUAGUCAUAUGAAGGGGGACGCCGGUGAGAAAACGUACUUUUGAAUAAAAAUCUGAAUUUUUUCUAAAUUGGAGUAAUUAGACAUUCUAAUGGCAGCAGUUGACACGGUACAGUGGUGUAGUGGUUAGCACUCUCGCCUCCCAGACAGAUGCCUCGGGUUCAACUCCACCCAGUGGAUCCUCUGUGUUAGGUGGUGUAGGCUAAGCCUGCAUGAGGUUCACUCCAUACUUGUAAAAGUAAUGGAAAAAACUUUUUUUAAACUUCCGCGUCCGAAAAGAAUCCCAAAAUAUUUUGCAAAAAGUCAUUAAAUUCUAUCUUUAGUCAUAUGAAGGUGCAGGAUGGUGAGAAAACCUACUUUUGAAUAAAAAUCCGAAUUUUUUCUAAAUUGGAGUCAUAAGACAUUCUAAUGGCAGCAGUUGACACGGUACAGUGGUGUAGUGGUUAGCACUCUCGCCUCCCAGACAGAUCCCUCGGGUUCAACUCCACCCAGUGGCGCCUCUGUGUUAGGUGGUGUAGGCUAAGCCUGCAUACUUGAAAUGAAAAAAACUUUAAGCCAUUUUUACACCACUACUCAGCAUGCGCCGGAAGUUCUAACAGAAACACGAAGUAAACCGGAAGUGCCCGGGAAACGUCUAUACCAAGCACUCCGCUCUUUCACAAUAAAGCUCAAGCUCUUCUCCACAACAACCAUCUGGAUAAUCUGCAAACUCUGGAAAACAGCUGAGCCAUGAACAACGACCAUACCUUCCCUGUAGUUCACUCCAUUAACAGACUCAUUCUUUGCGAGCUGACAGUGAGUAAUAUCAGGGUCUUUCAGCUGCAGAACCUUUUGUAUAUCGUGAUGCAAAAUAUCAACGGAGACAGUUGAAACAGCAGAGACAGUCAAGCUGGACAUUUUGGUUGUGUCCGACUCCAAGUGAUAUGCCAUCAUAAACUGAUGCUUCACCGCCAGGGAGAAGAGUAUGUUUUUAAAGCAGCGAGUGUGACGAAACAACCUGCUUAAAAAAACAAAAACAGUUUUGCCUCAAACCUCAUUGUCCACAUCCCAACCAGUGGGCCAAAAGAUCUUAUCAUCUGUGGAUAGUGUUCCACAAAAUGAUGUUUCGGCAACAGCUUGGCCCCUGGAAACACCUCUUGUAACCUGUAUCUAUGGUCACAAAUCUUGCUUUCAAGGAAAGCAACAGAUUGUGUUGUGUGCACUGGUGCAACAACUAGUUCCACAAUAUCUUUUAGGUCCAAAAUGACCUGCCAGGCUGGCUCAUCUGGAGGCACCAGCUGUCCAACCAAAAAUGGAAGCAAUCGCAAAAGGCUCCAACUCUCGUGAGCAUUUCCUCCAAUAGUUUUCUUCAGUGAGAACGCCUUGGGAAUAACAUGAGGACGGUUACUCUUGUCUGUCCACUUGUAAGAAAAUGUUUUAAUGGACUUGAGAUUUUCAAGUGUGAAAUAUUUUUUUGAAAUUAACAAGUUGAGGCACUCUGCUAACUCGACUGGUAAUAUGCCUAAAAAUGUUAUGCACAAGAUCUGGAGGGUAGCCAGUGCAGACAUUGAAAUGCAAAAGAUGUGAAGAGAAAACACACUUUCUUUUAACUCCACAACAAGGUUUUGCAUUGUCCUGUGCUGAUCUGACCUGCAUCUCAUUGUUUCGGAGAGUAAAAGCAUCUGAACUUACUUCUCUCUCCUGAAUUUCAGACUUUUGUGCCACACAAAAGCGGCACAUGUAGGCACCUGAAAAACUCAAUAAAACCAGCAAGUCCAUGUGCUCCCAAAUUGUCUGCUAUGACACACUGUAUUGUACCCUUAACACAAUCUCCAAGCUGUGCAAUAAAAAUACCCUCACUUUCCAAAAUGGCAAGAUCCCUCAACAAAGACUGUAGGACUCUUUCAUAGCCAAAUGCCAGAUAAAUCGAAGAUAACAAAUAAUGGCAACCAGGUGGUAAAUUGCUGAGAUUCCAAUAAACACCACAGAUCUUGUGCUUUUUACGAGAUGUGCCAAGUGGAUUACAAACCUCAAAAUCAUCAACAUACAAAUUCAGUAACUCGCAACUCACCUCCAGACAAAAAAGAAUUCUCCUUGAAAAACAAACCGUCUCGAAAAGACUUGUAUACCCCUUCAUCUCCUCUACCCUCUGAUGAGAUGAUUAUCUAACGAUUUGUUAAGAAUAUGACCAUCAGUGAAAAGCUCCUGCAAAAACUUUAAUAGUGGGACAUACUGCAGCGUUCUUUUAUCUUUGUCAUCCAAGAUCAAUUCUAUGGGUACCACAACUUUAUAGAAUCUUUGUAGAAUUGUCUGCAUUUAAAGGAUGUUGCCAAAGGACAACUUUUUCCAAUACUUAUACACAGGAUUAGAUGUGCACGGAGCAGACGCAAUUUCUUCAACUUGCAGAUUGUAACUAUUCAGUGUGUCAUGUAUCACAUUUCUUGUAGUACACAAAGAUCCUGUGCUCAACAAAUAUUGAAAUUCCUCCAGCAAUUCAUCAACUGCAGCAGUUGGAACAUGAAAGAUAGUUUCCAGCUUUAAUAACACUGAAGCAAUUUUUUGUUGGAUUAGAUCUGACUCAUCUUUUGAAGUAUCUAAAGCAACCUCAUCAAACUGACUUUGAGCAUGGAUUUCUUCACUGUUUGAAACACCAGGCUCUACCGUUUCAGCUAUACACGUUUCUUGUACUAAAUCAUCCUUGAAAUCCACCAAUGAAUGUAAAUGAUGCUUUUGUUUUCUGUGUGAUGUAAAGGUGCUGUAUACGUUCGAUUUGUAUUCACAGCCUUUUGUGUUCACAGCCUUUAAACAUAGAAGUUACUGUCUCAUUGUUUCUCAAAUGAUGGCUGAUGUGCAAAACAUAAUCUCGUUCUGUUCCAAGGUCAUUACAGUCACAUAAAUGGCAGGAAAAUGUAGUGAAGCGGUCACUAGAGUGCUUUACGGUAGUGCUAUGAUUUCUCGAUAAGUGUGCCAAAAGCGAAUUCCAAGUCUUAAAAGUGCAUGCACAAUCAGGAUAUACACACUUAAUAUGAAGGCCACGUCCAAAAUGACUGUUUUAGUUUGUAAUGUUUAAGAAUCUCUGAUCGCCUAGAGUAGACACUUCAGCGACACAGUCUUUACACUGCCACAUAAACUAGACAAACAACAAAGAGAAGAAAAAAAAAUAAUUAGUGAUGUUUAUACAGUCACCUGUGGUACUUAAACUCCUGCACUGUACAGCUAACAAAAGAUGCGUAAUUAAUUUAACUCAUUGUUUGGCCCAGGAAAUGUAAUAUUAAGCUGACUAAAGAGGACCAAAAUCAUUUGCACAAAAGUUGUUGAGUGCCUACAUAUGAUCAGUGGCAGAUUUACUUUGCUCUCAGCGAUAACUGCCCUAUAGAGAGCAAAAAUACCACAACAUUACAGAGUAAUGAGCAGUACUGCUGGGAUCAGCAUACCUGUGAAGAGUUUGUUAAAUGUACUUACCAAAACUUUAUGAGGUCCCCAAAGAGUUCCGCAUCACACCAACAUCAUAGAUAGAAUAAAACUGCAAAAAAAAAAAAAAAUACAAUUCAGGUUUUUAUUUUAGGAAAAAUAAGUAAUGUUCAAUAAUCAUUACUGACUUGGGUUAAGAUAAUGACUCAAAUCAGAUCAACAAAGAUAUUUUGUAUUUAAAUAGACCCUCAUAUUACUAUAGAAAUGAGCAACAAAUGGCAGAAAGGUUUCUUAAACAUUCAUUAUUCAUAUGUAAUUUGUUUUAUCUAAAAUAUAUAUGUAUAUAUAUAUA